UCUGCAACCUCAAAAUUAGUUCAUAGGGAAGCACAGAUGAUGACAAAAUCCUAUUUAAUAUACAGAUUCCUUUCCAGUACUCAGUACUGAUAAUAAAAUCUCUCAGGCACACCUUUGUCUAACUGCUUUAUAAUGAAUACAUGCAACUAUUUUGCUCAAACACUGCUCCUAGAGGUGCAUGUGUACAUGUUGUUGAUGUUGUUUGUGGUUUUGUUCAUUUGUUUGUUUUAGAUUGUUUUGAGUAGUGUUAAUGCAGCGGAGACCUCUAUAUGAUACAAUUGCAAGGAUUAUUGACUGCUGCUUACUGAAUUAAGUGAGGCAGUAGGAAGAAUAGAGUAACAGAAGAACAACUGCAAAGCUUGACAGAAAUAGCUACUUUACUAGUUGAUGCAACUUAAAGAAGGUCACCGCUGCAGCCUGCAGUUGGUCUGUUAUUUGAACUCUUUGAAAACAUCCAAAUUUUCACAUUGAGCAAGCUGAUUUAAUACUACCAGUAAGAGUUGAUCUGAGUACUGUAUGUUCCCAGUUGUUGAUUCAAAUUCUGGUGAAUUUUGAUAGCUUUAAUUCUCACUGUGGUUUAUUGGUGUUUUGUUUUGUUUCAUUUUGGUUUUUUUUUCUUUUUUCAGUUGACUCUGCACUUCUUUAGACUAAUACCGUGGAUCAUAAAACAUGACUGGUUGAAUGUAAGGAGCAUAGGAUUUUGAAAAUUUUGAAGCUGUGACAAGGCUACAGCAUUCUGAACUCCAAAAACGCAACCUGAGUAUUUUAACUUGACAUCAGAUUGAGAGAAUGGCUCUAGUACACUGGGAGUUAAGAAGUGAAUGUUGGUUCAAGACAUCAGAAGUGAAUUUUGGUGGUAUGGCAGCAGAGGAACACUGACAAAAUGGCACCUGACAUCCAGGAAGUGUGUAUGAAGUAAAGUUAUGUUUGUGGAUCCAUUCAACUCAGGAAGGAGCACUUAAAGCACAACUGACUGUUAAAAGGAACACUGAAGUCAGUGAAGGACUGAUUUCCCGCAGCCAGCUGUGCCAGGUGCCGGGCUGUGAUGGGAGCAGCU